rnacentral:rRNA from 1 species
UGAUCCUGGCUCAGGAUGAACGCUGGCGGUAUGCUUAACACAUGCAAGUCGAACGGGAUGCUUAGGCAUCUAGUGGCGGACGGGUGAGUAACGCGUGAGAAUCUGGCUCCAGGUCGGGGAUAACAGUUGGAAACGACUGCUAAUACCGGAUGUGCCGAAAGGUGAAAGAUUUAUUGCCUGGAGAUGAGCUCGCGUCUGAUUAGCUAGUUGGUGGUGUAAGGGACCACCAAGGCGUCGAUCAGUAGCUGGUCUGAGAGGAUGAUCAGCCACACUGGGACUGAGACACGGCCCAGACUCCUACGGGAGGCAGCAGUGGGGAAUUUUCCGCAAUGGGCGAAAGCCUGACGGAGCAAUACCGCGUGAGGGAGGAAGGCUCUUGGGUCGUAAACCUCUUUUCUCAAGGAAGAAGAAAGUGACGGUACUUGAGGAAUAAGCAUCGGCUAACUCCGUGCCAGCAGCCGCGGUAAUACGGAGGAUGCAAGCGUUAUCCGGAAUGAUUGGGCGUAAAGGGUCUGCAGGUGGAACUGAAAGUCUGCUGUUAAAGAGUUUGGCUUAACCAAAUAAAAGCGGUGGAAACUACAGAACUAGAGUGCGGUAGGGGCAAAAGGAAUUCCUGGUGUAGCGGUGAAAUGCGUAGAUAUCAGGAAGAACACCGGUGGCGAAAGCGUUUUGCUAGACCGUAACUGACACUGAGGGACGAAAGCUAGGGGAGCGAAUGGGAUUAGAUACCCCAGUAGUCCUAGCCGUAAACGAUGGAUACUAGGCGUGGCUUGUAUCGACCCGAGCCGUGCCGGAGCUAACGCGUUAAGUAUCCCGCCUGGGGAGUACGCACGCAAGUGUGAAACUCAAAGGAAUUGACGGGGGCCCGCACAAGCGGUGGAGUAUGUGGUUUAAUUCGAUGCAACGCGAAGAACCUUACCAAGACUUGACAUCCUGCGAAUCCUGGUGAAAGCUGGGAGUGCCUUAGGGAGCGCAGAGACAGGUGGUGCAUGGCUGUCGUCAGCUCGUGUCGUGAGAUGUUGGGUUAAGUCCCGCAACGAGCGCAACCCUCGUUUUUAGUUGCCAGCAUUAAGUUGGGCACUCUAGAGAGACUGCCGGUGACAAACCGGAGGAAGGUGAGGAUGACGUCAAGUCAGCAUGCCCCUUACGUCUUGGGCUACACACGUACUACAAUGCUACGGACAGAGGGCAGCAAGCCAGGGAUGGCAAGCGAAUCCAGAAACCGUAGCUCAGUUCAGAUCGAAGGCUGCAACUCGCCUUCGUGAAGGAGGAAUCGCUAGUAAUUGCAGGUCAGCAUACUGCAGUGAAUUCGUUCCCGGGCCUUGUACACACCGCCCGUCACACCAUGGAAGUUGGUCACGCCCGAAGUCAUUACCCCAACCGAAAGGAGGGGGAUGCCUAAGGUAGGACUA